rnacentral:piRNA from 1 species
UCUGAGUAGCAAUUUUUGAAA